UACGUAGGGGCCUAGCGUUGUCCGGAAUUAUUGGGCGUAAAGAGCUCGUAGGCGGUUCGGCAAGUCGGAUGUGAAAUCUCCUCGCUCAACGGGGAGAGGCCAUUGGAAACGGUCGGGCUGGAGGGCAGUAGAGGUAGGCGGAAUUCCGGGUGGAGUGGUGAAAUGCGUAGAGAUCCGGAGGAACACCAGAGGCGAAGGCGGCCUACUGGGCUGCACCUGACGCUGAGCCGCGAAAGCCAGGGGAGCGAACGGG
rnacentral:rRNA from 1 species